AUAUAUACGGAAGCAAUGUCAUUGCAAGAUAUUAACAUAGACACUCAAGAGAGGAUUCUGAGCAACACACACGCAGAGUUAUGUUCUUAUACAUGACUGAAAAAUAACACUAGUUGUGAGUGGAUGAAUUUUUUGUGAAAAUUCUUGAGCUUUGGAGCGGAAGCUGGCAUCUUAGAGCGUAGCUUUUUUUUUUAAAAGCGAGUAAUUUUCUAAAGAUACGAAGUACGAUAACGCGUUCGUGUCGGAGCUAAAGAAUGGAAGGAAAGCUAGCCGGUACGAGAAGCGAUGAUGUGAUUGGAUCGAAGUCGCAACUUAGGAAAGAAAGUGGCUAAGGUUAUGAGCUUUUUUGCAACAGCUGAACAUGAAAGGGAAAGACUUAAGUAUUUUGCUUCAGCUGAAGGAAGAGAUGACAUGUAUCAAUACAACCAGAAGGAAAGGAGAACUGUUCUUGAGGUGUUGGAGGAUUUUCCUUCUGUACAAAUGCCAUUUGAGUGGCUAGUCCAACUAGUUCCUCCACUGAAAACAAGAGCCUG